CAGUCUUUCCUUAUAAGUCCUGUGCCUCAGCCCCCUCACCAUUUUUGUUGCCCUCCGCUGGACUCCCUCCAAUUGACCACAUCCGUUCUGUAGUGGGAGACCCAAAACU